UUCUCCCGAUUUCUUCCCCGCGCCUAGCAUUUCCUCCCCAGUGUCGACGCCACAAGGGAGUUGAUCGCGCCGACGCCAUUCGACCCUGCCAGCCGAUCCUCCCUCCUUCCACCACCGGCCGAGCCUCCCUCCUCCUUCUCCCUCUCGAGGUGUGGAGUCUUUCCCCUUUCUCUCGCGCGCGGAUAGCUAGAUACCGACAGAGCAGUGCUCUUCACCGACGAUCUCGUCUUCACCGCGUCACCGAGAGGAAAGUCACCGGAUCUUGAGGGUACUGACAUUGUCCAGGCUAUCUCUGGUAGAGCGAUCGCUUCAUCAACCAUUUCUUGCACGCAAUCGAAGGGGAAUCGGCUCUAGGGCACGACGUGGGAGUUGACUCGCGUCAACCCUAGCUGACCGAUCUCUUCAAUCCUCCUCUUCAAUCUGGUUGCUGGAGAGUGGUCUAUGUCUCUCCACCAGCUGGGUCGAAUCGGGCGAUCAGUGUGGACUAGAGGGAUGCAUCGAAUCAGCGUACCGGUGGACUUUCCUUGAAGCCGAUCACUGCAUUCCAUUUCUUGUGGUUGAUUGAGUCUCAGUUGGGGGAUUAGGGAUCUAUUGAAUUAAGUAUUGUUCUGUUGGUUAGUGUUUUAGUAAUUCAUUGCUGUGCAAUUAGGUUCUAGAUUGAUUCUUGGAAGAAUUGGUGUGUGGGUGUUCUUUUGUAGCUUCCAAGCAGUGGACUGUGGGGCUAUAAGCUACUGAAUUGCUGCCAAAUCUCAAGGACUUUGAUAUGGGGCCAUCAUCACGAUGAGGGAUUUAUUCUUUAGGACGAGCGUAUCAACGUGAGAUUAUUUAGCACGAUCGACGUAUAAAGGCAAGU